rnacentral:lncRNA from 1 species
ACAAAAUUUAGAUUUUUUGUUAUUCACUAUUUUUUAUAAGCUUUAAAUUUUUAUUCACUAUUUGUACGUUAGUCAGUAGUUCUCGUUGGAAAGUAGUUUAAUUUUUUAAAACUAAAUAUUUUUUUGCUAAUUCGAUAAAUUAAUCUCAUAUGUAUUAAGUAAGCUGCGAAAUAUUUUGAGUUAUCAUAAGAUCAUAAUUGCAGUGUGUUAAUAAAAUGCGUG